AUUGAACGCUGGCGGCAGGCCUAACACAUGCAAGUCGGGCGGUAGCACAGGGAGCUUGCUCCUGGGUGACGAGCGGCGGACGGGUGAGUAAUGUCUGGGAAACUGCCUGAUGGAGGGGGAUAACUACUGGAAACGGUAGCUAAUACAGCAUAACGUCGCAAGACCAAAGAGGGGGACCUUCGGGCCUCUGGCCAUCAGAUGUGCCCAGAUGGGAUUAGCGAGUAGGUGGGGUAACGGCUCACCUAGGCGACGAUCCCUAGCUGGUCUGAGAGGAUGACCAGCCACACUGGAACUGAGACACGGUCCAGACUCCUACGGGAGGCAGCAGUGGGGAAUAUUGCACAAUGGGCGCAAGCCUGAUGCAGCCAUGCCGCGUGUAUGAAGAAGGCCUUCGGGUUGUAAAGUACUUUCAGCGGGGAGGAAGGCGAUAAGGUUAAUAACCUUGUCGAUUGACGUUACCCGCAGAAGAAGCACCGGCUAACUCCGUGCCAGCAGCCGCCGUAA
rnacentral:rRNA from 1 species